UGGCCACUAAUCCCCAUCCCCAUCCAUCUGCUCACUGCUCCCUUCCAGGACCCUCUGCAUCUUUAGACAGACACAAGCAGUUGGCAAGAACAUGCCCAUCACUCCUCUGCCCACCAGUGUGUUCCCAGAGCCAGGACACUGACGGCCUCUGGCUUCCUAGAGAAAGGCCUACCUCAUCCCACGCCACUUUUCCCGUGACCGGAUGCCAGGGGCUUGGGGCAGGUUGCAUUCCAUCUCAGCCAGUCUGGCACUGCUGCCUCCCUCACCGCUGGGCCUCCCUCCCUUCCUCUGCUUCCUGUUCACCUGCCCCAGCUUCCCUCUUGGGCCUUGCCGAAAGCAAGGUGAAAUCAACCAACAGGAAGUGAACUUCUCCUGGAAGCAGGGGCCGGCAGCAUCACCCACAUUCAUCUCCUGUCUAGUAAUGUCCAAAAGCUGGCCCGCACCCAUGUGGCUACCUGAUGUCCCUGACAGGGCAGGCCCCAGUGUUCUCCCUGGAGCUCUGAGACCCUCUGCAUUCAUUUAUCAGCAUCCUGCUGGGGCUUUCACUGACUUUCCUAAGGUCAAGUUCCCUCAGCAAACAUCCUCUGGGCACUCUGCAGAUGGGUUUUUUCACAGAUCUAAUUGUGGAUGGCUGUUUCGCCCACCUGCCUGGCCUUGGAUUAUCUGUCAGAGCCUUGCCUGGAAGCAGGCAUGUGGCAGGCUCCCACUAGCACCUAAGCUGAAUGACCGAAUGCUCAAGAGGGUGCUGUCCUUGUCACUUCUUGACUGUGACACAAGCGACUGUGGAUGCCAAAACCCUGCCCACCCCUCUCAUGCCCAUAUUUGGACAUGGUACAGAUCCUCACUGGCCAUGGUCUGUGAGGUCCUGGUCCUCUUUGACUUCACAAUCUCCAGGGGCCCCUUGUGUCUAUAAGAGGAAGAGGGUGCGGGCUCUCCAGCCACAGCCCGCAAAAUUCCACCUGCUCACAGGUUGGCUGGCUCGACCCAGGUGGUGCCCCCUGCUCUGAGCCAGCUCCCGGCCAAGCCAGCACCAUGGCCAGAUACCGAUGCUGCCGCAGCAAAAGCAGGAGCAGAUGCCGCCGCCGCAGGCGGCGAUGUCGCAGACGGAGGAGGCGAUGCUGCCGGAGGAGGAGGCGAAGGUGCUGCCGCCGCCGCCGCACAUACACCCUAAGGUGUAAAAGAUACUAGAUGCACAGACUAGCAAGUCCAUCAAAACUCCUGCCUGAGAAUUUACCAGACUUCAAGAGCCUCUCACCACAUCUUGAAAAAUACCACCGUCCGAUGAAAAACAGGAGCCUGCUAAGGAACAAUGCCACCUGUCAAUAAAUGUUGAAAACUCA